rnacentral:rRNA from 1 species
AUGUCGUGGUGGAAGAAUGAAGCUAGCAGCAGCAGGCACAACCACAGACACAGGUUUCUCCUCACGAACAGUGCAUUUAACCGGGCAACCUAUGUUCCAAGGCCAACCUUCAAUGCACCUUGCCCGUCUCCACCAACAAUGCAGCACAGGAACUCCGAAGGGCAGUACAGCGAUAUGGAUUCCCAUCCUACUUUUGGUCCAUGCUUCAACUGUGGACAGUUUGACAACCACUCCAAGCAAACAACGUGUCUGGUUCGUGGUCGGGUAAUGUAUCCAGCUCUGGUAUUUGGAAGCUCCACUUUCGAUUUGUUUCUACGGAAUACGUGA